ACGGGUGUAGCUCAGCUGGUAGAGUAGUGGUCUCCAAAACCAUUGGUCGUGGGUUCGAAUCCUACCGCCCGUGCAA
rnacentral:tRNA from 1 species